rnacentral:rRNA from 1 species
GACGAACGCUGGCGGCGUGCUUAACACAUGCAAGUCGAACGAUGAAGCCGGAGCUUGCUCUGGUGAAUUAGUGGCGAACGGGUGAGUAACACGUGAGUAACCUGCCCUUGACUCUGGGCUAACUGCGGGAAACUGUAGCUAAUACCGGAUACGACCCUCGGCGGCAUCGCCUGGGGGUGGAAAGAAUUUCGGUCAAGGAUGGACUCGCGGCCUAUCAGGUAGUUGGUGAGGGAAAGGCUCACCAAGGCGACGACGGGUAGCCGGCCUGAGAGGGUGACCGGCCACACUGGGACUGAGACACGGCCCAGACUCCUACGGGAGGCAGCAGUGGGGAAUAUUGCACAAUGGGCGCAAGCCUGAUGCAGCGACGCCGCGUGAGGGAUGAAGGUCUUCGGAUUGUAAACCUCUUUCAGUAGGGACGAAGCGAAAGUGACGGUACCUAAAGAAGAAGCACCGGCUAACUACGUGCCAGCAGCCGCGGUAA